AGUGAACGCUGGCGGUAGGCCUAACACAUGCAAGUCGAACGGCAGCACAGUAAGAGCUUGCUCUUACGGGUGGCGAGUGGCGGACGGGUGAGGAAUACAUCGGAAUCUACUUUUUCGUGGGGGAUAACGUAGGGAAACUUACGCUAAUACCGCAUACGACCUACGGGUGAAAGCAGGGGAUCUUCGGACCUUGCGCGAUUGAAUGAGCCGAUGUCGGAUUAGCUAGUUGGCGGGGUAAAGGCCCACCAAGGCGACGAUCCGUAGCUGGUCUGAGAGGAUGAUCAGCCACACUGGAACUGAGACACGGUCCAGACUCCUACGGGAGGCAGCAGUGGGGAAUAUUGGACAAUGGGCGCAAGCCUGAUCCAGCCAUACCGCGUGGGUGAAGAAGGCCUUCGGGUUGUAAAGCCCUUUUGUUGGGAAAGAAAAGCAGCAGGUUAAUAACCCGCUGUUCUGACGGUACCCAAAGAAUAAGCACCGGCUAACUUCGU
rnacentral:rRNA from 1 species